UACGUAGGGGGCUAGCGUUGUCCGGAAUCAUUGGGCGUAAAGCGCGUGUAGGCGGCUUGGUAAGUCCGCUCUGAAAGCCCGAGGCUCAACCUCGGGAGGCGGGUGGAUACUGCCGGGCUCGAGUCCGGAAGAGGCGAGUGGAAUUCCCGGUGUAGCGGUGAAAUGCGCAGAUAUCGGGAGGAACACCAAUGGCGAAGGCAGCUCGCUGGGACGGUACUGACGCUGAGACGCGAAAGCGUGGGGAGCAAACAGG
rnacentral:rRNA from 1 species